rnacentral:rRNA from 1 species
UACGUAGGUGGCAAGCGUUGUCCGGAUUUACUGGGCGUAAAGGAUGCGUAGGCGGACAUUUAAGUCAGAUGUGAAAUACCCGAGCUUAACUUGGGUGCUGCAUUUGAAACUGGGUGUCUAGAGUGCAGGAGAGGUAAGUGGAAUUCCUAGUGUAGCGGUGAAAAUGCGUAGAGAUUAGGAAGAACACAGUGGCGAAGGCGACUUACUGGACUGUAACUGACGCUGAGGCGCGAAAGCGUGGGGAGCAAACAGG